UUUCCGUAGGUGAACCUGCGGAAGGAUCAUUAAAGAGAUAGGGUCUUCAUGGCCCGACCUCCAACCCUCUGUUGUUAAAACUACCUUGUUGCUUUGGCGGGACCGUCUCGGUCUCCGAGCGCACUAACCCUCGGGUUGGUGAGCGCCCGCCAGAGUCCAACCAAACUCUUGUAUUAAACCAGUCGUCUGAGUAUAAAAUUUUAAUUAAAUUAAAACUUUCAACAACGGAUCUCUUGGUUCUCGCAUCGAUGAAGAACGCAGCGAAAUGCGAUAAGUAAUGUGAAUUGCAGAAUUCAGUGAAUCAUCGAAUCUUUGAACGCACAUUGCGCCCCUUGGUAUUCCGAGGGGCAUGCCUGUUCGAGCGUCAUUACACCACUCAAGCAUCGCUUGGUAUUGGGAACGGUCCGUCGAAAGGCGGGCCUUCCUCGAAGACCUCGGCGGGGUUCAACCAACUUCGGGCGUAGUAGAGUUAAAUCGAACGUCUUAUAAGCUUGGUCGGAUCUCAUUGCCGUUAAACCUUUAAAUUUUCUAGGUUGACCUCGGAUCAGGUAGGGAUACCCGC
rnacentral:rRNA from 1 species